rnacentral:rRNA from 1 species
GCUGGCGGCAGGCCUAACACAUGCAAGUCGAGCGGAUGAAGAGAGCUUGCUCUCUGAUUCAGCGGCGGACGGGUGAGUAAUGCCUAGGAAUCUGCCUGAUAGUGGGGGACAACGUUUCGAAAGGAACGCUAAUACCGCAUACGUCCUACGGGAGAAAGCAGGGGACCUUCGGGCCUUGCGCUAUCAGAGGAGCCUAGGUCGGAUUAGCUAGUUGGUGAGGUAAAGCCUCACCAAGGCGACGAUCCGUAACUGGUCUGAGAGGAUGAUCAGUCACAUUGGAACUGAGACACGGUCCAGACUCCUACGGAAGGCAGCAGUGGGGAAUUUUGGACAAUGGGGGAAAGCCUGAUCCAGCCAUGCCGCGUGUGGGAAGAAGGUUUUCGGAUUGUAAAGCCCUUUAAGUUGGGGGGAAGGGCAGUAAGUUAAUCCCUUGCUGUUUUGACGUUACCAACAGAAUAAGCCCCGGCUAACUUCGUGCCAGCAGCCGCGGUAAUACGAAGGGUGCAAGCGUUAAUCGGAAUUACUGGGCGUAAAGCGCGCGUAGGUGGUUGGAUAAGUUGAAUGUGAAAGCCCCGGGCUCAACCUGGGAACUGCAUCCAAAACUGGCGAGCUAGAGUAUGGCAGAGGGUGGUGGAAUUUCCUGUGUAGCGGUGAAAUGCGUAGAUAUAGGAAGGAACACCAGUGGCGAAGGCGACCACCUGGGCUAAUACUGACACUGAGGUGCGAAAGCGUGGGGAGCAAA